UACGUAGGGUGCAAGCGUUGUCCGGAAUUAUUGGGCGUAAAGAGCUCGUAGGCGGUUUGUUGCGUCGGCUGUGAAAUCCCGAGGCUCAACCUCGGGUCUGCAGUCGAUACGAGCAGGCUAGAGUUCGGCAGGGGAGACUGGAAUUCCUGGUGUAGCGGUGAAAUGCGCAGAUAUCAGGAGGAACACCGGUGGCGAAGGCGGGUCUCUGGGCCGAUACUGACGCUGAGGAGCGAAAGCGUGGGGAGCGAACAGG
rnacentral:rRNA from 1 species